rnacentral:misc_RNA from 1 species
GGAAGUAAAAGUCGCAACAAGGUUUCCGUAGGUGAACCUGCGGAAGGAUCAUUCAUAAUAAAGUGUUUUAUGGCACUUUUUAAAAAUCCAUAUCCACCUUGUGUGCAAUGUUAGAUCUCGUCAAUCUUGGCGAGAUUUUUAUACAUCAACUCAUUCUUUAACUAAUUUGUCUGAAAAAUAUUAUGAAUACUUAAUUCAAAAUACAACUUUCAACAACGGAUCUCUUGGCUCUC